UACGGAGGGUGCAAGCAUUAAUCGGAUUUAUUGGGCGUAAAGGGCGCGUAGGCGGACUUUUAAGUCAGAUGUGAAAUUUCGGAGCUCAACUCCGAAGCGGCAUUUGAAACUAGAGGUCUCGAGGGACGGCGGAGAAAACGGAAUUCCACGUGUAGCGGUGAAAUGCGUAGAUAUGUGGAAGAACACCGGUGGCAAAAGCGGUUUUCUAGCUGUUACCUGACGCUGAGGCGCGAGAGCAAGGGGAGCAAAC
rnacentral:rRNA from 1 species